rnacentral:rRNA from 1 species
UACGAAGGGGGCUAGCGUUGCUCGGAAUGACUGGGCGUAAAGGGCGCGUAGGCGGAUUGCUUUGUCGGGCGUGAAAUUCCAGGGCUUAACCUUGGGGCUGCGUUCGAGACGGGUGAUCUUGAGUUCGGAAGAGGGUAGUGGAAUUCCCAGUGUAGAGGUGAAAUUCGUAGAUAUUGGGAAGAACACCGGUGGCGAAGGCGGCGACCUGGUCCGAGACUGACGCUGAGGCGCGAAAGCGUGGGGAGCAAACAGG